GCCGAUGUAGCUCAGUUGGCCAGAGCACGUGAUUUGUAAUCUCGGGGUCGUGGGUUCGAAUCCCUCCAUCUGCUCCA
rnacentral:tRNA from 1 species